rnacentral:rRNA from 1 species
GGACAGAAAGACCCUAUGAAGCUUUACUGUAGCUUGGAAUUGGGUUUGGGCUUUUCUUGCGCAGGAUGGGUGGGAGGCUAAGAAAAUAAUCUUGCGGGGUUAUUCGAGCCAAUGGUGAGAUACCACUCUGGAAAAGCUAGAAUUCUAACCUUGAAAGCCGUUAUCCGGCCAAGGAACAGUUCCAGGUAGGCAGUUUGACUGGGGCGGUCGCCUCCUAAAAAGUAACGGAGGCGCGCAAAGGUUCUCUCAGGCUGGUCGGAAAUCAGUCGUAGAGUGUAAAGGCAUAAGAGAGCUUGACUGUGAGACCUACAAGUCGAACAGAGACGAAAGUCGGCCUUAGUGAUCCGGCGGUACCGAGUGGAAGGGCUGUCGCUCAACGGAUAAAAGUUACUCUAGGGAUAACAGGCUGA